rnacentral:rRNA from 1 species
AUUGAACGCUGGCGGCAUGCCUUACACAUGCAAGUCGAACGGCAGCACGGGAGCAAUCCUGGUGGCGAGUGGCGAACGGGUGAGUAAUACAUCGGAACGUGCCCAAUCGUGGGGGAUAACGCAGCGAAAGCUGUGCUAAUACCGCAUACGAUCUACGGAUGAAAGCAGGGGAUCGCAAGACCUUGCGCGAAUGGAGCGGCCGAUGGCAGAUUAGGUAGUUGGUGAGGUAAAGGCUCACCAAGCCGUCGAUCUGUAGCUGGUCUGAGAGGACGACCAGCCACACUGGGACUGAGACACGGCCCAGACUCCUACGGGAGGCAGCAGUGGGGAAUUUUGGACAAUGGGCGAAAGCCUGAUCCAGCCAUGCCGCGUGCAGGAUGAAGGCCUUCGGGUUGUAAACUGCUUUUGUACGGAACGAAACGGCCUUUUCUAAUAAAGAGGGCUAAUGACGGUACCGUAAGAAUAAGCACCGGCUAACUACGUGCCAGCAGCCGCGGUAAUACGUAGGGUGCAAGCGUUAAUCGGAAUUACUGGGCGUAAAGCGUGCGCAGGCGGUUAUGUAAGACAGUUGUGAAAUCCCCGGGCUCAACCUGGGAACUGCAUCUGUGACUGCAUAGCUAGAGUACGGUAGAGGGGGAUGGAAUUCCGCGUGUAGCAGUGAAAUGCGUAGAUAUGCGGGGGGACACCGAUGGGCGAAGGCAAUCCCCUGGACCUGUACUGACGCUCAUGCACGAAAGCGUGGGGAGCAAACAGG